rnacentral:rRNA from 1 species
GGGAUGGGUAGGGGAGCGUCGUGUGCCGGGUGAAGCAGCCGCGGAAGCGAGUUGUGGACGGUUCACGAGUGAGAAUGCAGGCAUGAGUAGCGAUACACACGUGAGAAACGUGUGCGCCGAUUGACUAAGGGUUCCUGGGUCAAGCUGAUCUGCCCAGGGUAAGUCGGGACCUAAGGCGAGGCCGACAGGCGUAGUCGAUGGACAACCGGUUGAUAUUCCGGUACCCGCUUUGAAACGCCCAGUACUGAAUCAGGCGAUGCUAAGUCCGUGAAGCCGGCCCGAUCUCUUCGGAGUUGAGGGUAGUGGUGGAGCCGAUGAACCAGACUUGUAGUAGGUAAGCGAUGGGGUGACGCAGGAAGGUAGUCCAGCCCGGGCGGUGGUUGUCCCGGGGUAAGGGUGUAGGCCGUGUGGUAGGUAAAUCCGUCACACGUUAAGGCUGAGACCUGAUGCCGAGCCGAUUGUGGUGAAGUGGAUGAUCCUAUGCUGUCGAGAAAAGCCUCUAGCGAGUUUCAUGGCGGCCCGUACCCUAAACCAACUCAGGUAGUCAGGUAGAGAAUACCGAGGCGUUCGGGUGAACUAUGGUUAAGGAACUCGGCAAAAUGCCCCCGUAACUUCGGGAGAAGGGGGGCCAUCACUGGUGAUCCGAUUUACUCGGUGAGCUGGGGGUGGCCGCAGAGACCAGCGAGAAGCGACUGUUUACUAAAAACACAGGUCCGUGCGAAGCCGUAAGGCGAUGUAUACGGACUGACGCCUGCCCGGUGCUGGAACGUUAAGGGGACCGGUUAGUGCACUUUCGGGUGUGCGAAGCUGAGAACUUAAGCGCCAGUAAACGGCGGUGGUAACUAUAACCAUCCUAAGGUAGCGAAAUUCCUUGUCGGGUAAGUUCCGACCUGCACGAAUGGCGUAACGACUUCUCGACUGUCUCAACCAUAGGCCCGGUGAAAUUGCACUACGAGUAAAGAUGCUCGUUUCGCGCAGCAGGACGGAAAGACCCCGGGACCUUUACUAUAGUUUGAUAUUGGUGUUCGGUUCGGCUUGUGUAGGAUAGGUGGGAGACUUUGAAGCGGCCACGCCAGUGGUUGUGGAGUCGCCGUUGAAAUACCACUCUGGUCGUGCUGGAUGUCUAACCUGGGUCCGUGAUCCGGAUCAGGGACAGUGUCUGAUGGGUAGUUUAACUGGGGCGGUUGCCUCCUAAAGAGUAACGGAGGCGCCCAAAGGUUCCCUCAGCCUGGUUGGCAAUCAGGUGUUGAGUGUAAGUGCACAAGGGAGCUUGACUGUGAGACCGACGGGUCGAGCAGGGACGAAAGUCGGGACUAGUGAUCCGGCAGUGGCUUGUGGAAGCGCUGUCGCUCAACGGAUAAAAGGUACCCCGGGGAUAACAGGCUGAUCUUCCCCAAGAGUCCAUAUCGACGGGAUGGUUUGGCACCUCGAUGUCGGCUCGUCGCAUCCUGGGGCUGGAGUCGGUCCCAAGGGUUGGGCUGUUCGCCCAUUAAAGCGGUACGCGAGCUGGGUUUAGAACGUCGUGAGACAGUUCGGUCCCUAUCCGCUGUGCGCGUAGGAAUAUUGAGAAGGGCUGUCCCUAGUACGAGAGGACCGGGACGGACGAACCUCUGGUGUGCCAGUUGUCCUGCCAAGGGCAUGGCUGGUUGGCUACGUUCGGAAAGGAUAACCGCUGAAAGCAUCUAAGCGGGAAGCCUGCUUCGAGAUGAGUGUUCCCACCACCUUGA